CCAAAAACAUCGCUCUUUGAAAAGAUUCUAAGACAUAAAGAGUCCUGCCUGCCCAGUGACGAAAGUUAAACGGCCGCGGUAUUUUGACCGUGCAAAGGUAGCAUAAUCAUUUGCCUUUUAAAUGGAGGCUAGUAUGAAUGGCAAGACGGAGGUUUAGCUGUCUCUCUUUUAGGAACUUGAAUUUAUUAUCCUCGUGAAGAAACGAGGAUAGAAUCGUAGGACGAGAAGACCCUAUCGAGCUUUAGUUACGAGUUAAAGUUAGAAGUUUUUUAUUAUUAGGCUAAUAAAGCCGAAAAUUAAUUUUACCUAGUAAUAAAAAUAAACUGUUAAUAAGGCGCUUUGGUUGGGGCAACCGCGGAGAAAAAUCACCCUCCGCUUAUGGAAUAAGAAAAAACUACUGUUUUGUAAAAUCUAAAUUAUUAAUAAGUGAUCCACUGUAGAAGUGAUCAAAGGAAUAAGUUACCGUAGGGAUAACAGCGUAAUUUUUUUGGAGAGUUCAUAUUGAUAAAAAAGUUUGCGACCUCGAUGUUGGAUCGGGACUUCCAGGAGAUGCAGCAGUUCCAAGG
rnacentral:rRNA from 1 species